CAACGUGCAAAGCGUGAUGUUAAGGAUUUUUUUUUUUUUCAGAUUUUUAAUGACUCUAACAUCUACAGCAUGCGCUGAAUGUUGUCGUAAGUGAUUCACAACAUGAAUUGCAUGUUGUUAUACAUGUUUUUUCUUGUAGAUACGACAUUUUGGCCUCGUAUCCCGUACCGAUCAGGGAUACGGGUACGAUACGGCUUGGAUACGCGGAUCCUGAUUUGAAUACGGUCUGGAUACGUUGUAUCUGAAUUGGAUACGAAUUUUUGUAAUUAAAUUGGAUACGCGGGGUUACAACUGACAUUUUCCUUUAAAAAAAAACAUAAAAGAUAAAGACCUACCCAAGGCUAUUUGUUUAGACUAUCUGCAGCAGCCGUUUCUCUUCGAUCUGACCUCAAGAUCGAAGAAAUUAGACUUUGAAAAACAGCUGAAGCUUCCGAUGUGAAUGGACAAAACCGAAAUCUCGAGGCAGUGAAUAAUUUGCAAAUGUGCAUGCCUCGGAGGGAAUAUUUGUUUCUGUGUUUUGCUGGGACAAAGUCGUGUUUCACAAAGUCGUACUUAAUUAUAAAAGCGCCAGCUUAUGAAUGAGUAGUGUGCUUCCCAGUUUUGCCUCUCUUCUGUUUUGGGUUUGUUCCACCGUUUCAUCUGAGCGGAGAGCCAAGGGAACAGAGGAACAAGGGGGAGAAAAAGAAAAGGUGGAAGGGAAGCUCUCUGGCAAAACCAUCAGUCCGGCGGUUUGUUGCCGCCGUGUCCCACCGUGUCAGGCUUUUUGUUCUUGGACUGCCUGUCUUCAACACAGGGAAAGAAGAAGGAGAGGGAUCUGGGUCUUCAUUCAGGUUUUGAUUUGGAAGUUUAAAGAAGAGGACCUUUGAAGGAGGUUGUCGAUUUUGGGUGUAGAUUUGGAAACAACAUUGGCAGAAUUCUUCAGAAGGAGGGCACCGUCAUUCUUCCAGCUCUCUCUCUCUCUCUCUUAAAC